AUUGAACGCUGGCGGCAUGCCUAACACAUGCAAGUCGAACGGCAGCACGGGUGUUUGCCCCUGGUUGAGAGUCGCGCACGGGUGUGAAAUCCAUGGGUCUAUGUCCUGGUGUGGGGGAACGCCCGGCGACGGGCGGUUUUAUCGCACAUGCGCUGUGGGGGUGAGAGGGGGGUCCUCGGAGCUCACGCGAUCAGGGGAUGGUAGAUGGCUGAUUAGCUAGUUGGUGGGGUAAAGGCCUACCAAGGCGACGAUCAGUAGCUGGUCUGAGAGGACGACCAGCCACACUGGAACUGAGACACGGUCCAGACUCCUACGGGAGGCAGCAGUGGGGAAUAUUGGACAAAGGGCGAAAGCCUGAUCCAGCAAUGCCGCGUGUGUGAAGAAGGCCUUCGGGUUGUAAAGCACUUUUGGUUGGGAAGAAAGCCAGUACGCUAAUACCUUGGUGUGUUGACGUUACCAGAAGAAUAAGCACCGGCUAACUUCGUG
rnacentral:rRNA from 1 species